rnacentral:rRNA from 1 species
AACGAACGCUGGCGGCAGGCCUAACACAUGCAAGUCGAGCGAGGACUUCGGUUCUAGCGGCGGACGGGUGAGUAACGCGUGGGAAUGUGCCCUUCUCUACGGAAUAGCCCUGGGAAACUGGGAGUAAUACCGUAUACGCCCUAUUGGGGAAAGAUUUAUCGGAGAAGGAUCAGCCCGCGUUGGAUUAGGUAGUUGGUGGGGUAAUGGCCUACCAAGCCGACGAUCCAUAGCUGGUUUGAGAGGAUGAUCAGCCACACUGGGACUGAGACACGGCCCAGACUCCUACGGGAGGCAGCAGGGGGGAAUCUUAGACAAUGGGGGCAACCCUGAUCUAGCCAUGCCGCGUGAGUGAUGAAGGCCUUAGGGUUGUAAAGCUCUUUCAGCUGGGAAGAUAAUGACGGUACCAGCAGAAGAAGCCCCGGCUAACUCCGU